rnacentral:tRNA from 1 species
GCUUCGGUAGCUCAGCUUGGUAGAGCGCGUGCUUGGUAAGCACGAGGUCGCGGGUUCAAAUCCCGUCCGAAGCU